GACGAACUGUUCUAACGUUAUUCGGAAUCACUGGGCUUAAAGGGCGCGUAGGCUGUUUGUUAAGCGGGGUCUGAAAUCCCUCGGCUCAACCGAGGAACUGGGCUUCGAACUGGCAGACUAGAGUGAAGUAGGGGUAAGCGGAACUUGCGGUGGAGCGGUGAAAUGCUUUGAUAUCGCAAGGAACACCGGCGGCGAAGGCGGCUUACUGGGCUUCAACUGGCGCUUAAGCGCGAAAGCUAGGGUAGCGAACGGGAUUAGAUACCACGGUAGUCCCUGAGCGGGCUGG
rnacentral:rRNA from 1 species